CAGCCGUAAAACUAUGCUCGCUAGGUGUCAGGCAUGGCGCGACCGUGUCUGGUGCCGCAGGGAAGCCGUGAAGCGAGCCACCUGGGAAGUACGGCCGCAAGGCUGAAACUUAAAGGAUUGGCGGGGGAGCACAACAACGGGUGGAGCCUGCGGUUUAAUGGACUCAACGCCGGACAACUCACCGGGAACGACAGCAAUAUGUAGGCCAGGCUGAAGACCUUGCCUGAAUCGCUGAGAGGUGGUGCAUGGCGUAGACGUCU
rnacentral:rRNA from 1 species